rnacentral:rRNA from 1 species
GAUAAACGCUGGCGGCGUGCCUGAGACAUGCAAGUCGAACGAAGGCUCGGGCUUGCUCGAUCCUUAGUGGCGGACGGCUGAGUAACGCGUAGGUGACCUACCCCGAAGUGGGGAAUAACUGCCCGAAAGGGUGGCUAAUACCGCAUGUGGUCGCACGUUCAUUCGUGCGAGUAAAGCCGCAAGGCGCUUCGGGAGGGGCCUGCGUCCGAUUAGCUCGUUGGUGGGGUAAUGGCUUACCAAGGCGACGAUCGGUAGGUGGUCUGAGAGGACGAUCACCCAGACUGGGACUGAGACACGGCCCAGACUCCUACGGGAGGCAGCAGUCGGGAAUUUUGCUCAAUGGGGGAAACCCUGAAGCAGCAACGCCGCGUGAGGGAUGAAGGCCUUCGGGUUGUAAACCUCUUUUGUCAGGGACGAUGAUGACGGUACCUGGCGAAUAAGCCACGGCUAACUACGUG